AUGUUUCUCUUCCUUUGUGUCUUGUGCUUGUUUCUGGUCUCUGGUAUUUUGUCAGAUCCACAACUUACACAACCCAGCUCAGAGUUGAAAAAGCCUGGAGAGAGUGUAAAAUUACCAUGUACAGCUUCUGGAUACACAUUUACCAGCUAUGCUAUAUUCUGGAUCCAACAGACUCCAAAUAAAGAAUUGAAAUACAUUGGAUACAUUGCUACUAAUACUGGAAGCACAGAUUAUUCUCCAUCAUUCCAAGGAAGAUUCACCAUAACAAAGGAAGAUUCACUUAGUUCAUCAUAUCUAACAAUUGACAGGCUGGCACUGGAGGACACGGCUACUUACUACUGUGCAAGAUACACAGUGAUAAAACCACAUAAACCAACAAGGCAAAAACCUCAGAAGAAUAUCUCUGUCAUCUACUAG